GUAUAGAUCAUUCCCCUGCAAUUUCACUGCUCAAUUCACUGUCAUUUAGGAGUUAAAUCACUUUGUUUCUGUUUAUGCAGCCCUAGCCACACCUCCCCUGGCUAUGACUGACAGAGCCUGCAUGAAAAAAAAAACUGGUUUCACUUUCAAACAGAUGUAAUUUACCUUAAAUAAUUGUAUCUCAAUCUCUAAAUUGAACUUUAAUCACAUACAGGAGGCUCUUGCAGGGUCUAGCAAGCUAUCAACAUAGCAGGGGAUAAGAAAAUCUUAAUUAAACAGAACUUGCAAUAAAGAAAGCCUAAAUAGGGCUCUCUUUACAGGAAGUGUUUAUGGAAGGCUGUGCAAGUCACAUGCAGGGAGGUGUGACUAGGGUUCAUAAACAAAGGGAUUUAAC
rnacentral:lncRNA from 1 species